UUCAGAUUGAGGGCUGCAACCCGCCCUCAUGAAGUCGGAGUUGCUAGUAAUCGCGGAUCAGCAUGCCGCGGUGAAUACGUUCCCGGGCCUUGUACACACCGCCCGUCACACCAUGGGAGUUGGGAGCACCCGAAGCCGGUGAGGUAACCGAAAGGAGCCAGCCGUCGAAGGUGAGACCAAUGACUGGGGUGAAGUCGUAACAAGGUACC
rnacentral:rRNA from 1 species